rnacentral:rRNA from 1 species
CCUCGAUGUCGGCUCAUCGCAUCCUGGGGCUGGAGAAGGUCCCAAGGGUUGGGCUGUUCGCCCAUUAAAGUGGCACGCGAGCUGGGUUCAGAACGUCGUGAGACAGUUCGGUCCCUAUCUGUUGCGAGCGUAAGAAACUUGAGUAGAUCUGACUUUAGUACGAGAGGACCGAGUUGGACUAACCGCUGGUGUACCAGUUGUCUCGCCAGGGGCAUUGCUGGGUAGCUAUGUUGGGAAGGGAUAAGCGCUGAAAGCAUCUAAGCGCGAAGCCCCCCUCAAGAUUAGAUUUCCCUGGACUAUAAGUCCCUGAAGGGCCGUAGAAGACUACUACGUUGAUAGGUUGGGUGUG